ensembl:lncRNA
CUCCAUAAAUUGGAAUUACUGGGCGUCUCACCGAUGCUUUUUUUAUUACUACACAGAGAGGCCAGCACCGGUCUACAAAAAGUUUUGGUCAAAAGUGCAUACAUUCAGAGCCAUCCCUCAGUACCAAUCAUGCAGAGACUUUAUGAGGCUGUUAUAAGAGGGAGCAACUCCACCUCUGCCACCAGUGAACCCGCCUCUGCGACCCCCAAUGACUCCACCUCUGUGUCCAGGGAACCCGCCUCUGCGACCCCCAAUGACUCCACCUCUGUGUCCAGUGAACCCGCCUCUGCGACCCCCAAUGACUCCACCUCUGUGUCCAGGGAACCCGCCUCUGCGACCCCCCAAUGACUCCAACUCUGUGUCCAGGGAACCCGCCUCUGCGACCCCCAAUGACUCCAACUCUGAGAUCAGUGAACCCACCUCUGCAACCCCCAAUGACUCCAACUCUGUGUCCAGGGAACCCGCCUCUGCGACCCCCAAUGACUCCAACUCUGUGUCCAGGGAACCCGCCUCUGCGACCCCCAAUGACUCCAACUCUGUGAUCAGUGAACCCACCUCUGCGACCCCCAGUGAACCCAAUAUUCCAAAUGUGUUCUACAGGCCAAUAAAAAGAAAGCAGAGACAAACACUUAAUGAAUGCUCACAUAACAGCCAGGAUGUGUACCAUGGAGAGGUUGUGAGGGAGAGAGUUAGGGAGGGAAGAAAAGAAUAUCUUUUUCGUUGGCAGCCUUGCACAUCCUGUGGCAAGAAGUGGAGGAGUACAUGGGUGUCCGAGGAUGCUGUACAGUAGUUAUUAAAAUAUUUGUGUCUGUUUAAAAAUUAUACUCAUUUGACUUGUCAAUACCAUGAAAUAAAAAAAGAAAGUAUGUGUACUAAUUGUGCUUUUUAUGAAUUUGUUUUAACAGAUCAUUUUAUGUGAAAAAUUAUGCAUGACUCUGUAAAUCUUGCAGAACAGCAAAGCAUAAAAACAACUUCUCUAUCACACAAUACAUCCUACAAUGAAGUGUUGUAUUAUAAAAAUAAAGUGAGAUUAAUG